CAGUAGCCACGGUAAUACGUAGGGUGCAAGCGUUGUCCGGAAUUAUUGGGCGUAAAGAGCUCGUAGGCGGUUUGUCGCGUCUGCUGUGAAAUCUGGGGGCUCAACCCCCAGCCUGCAGUGGGUACGGGCAGACUAGAGUGCGGUAGGGGAGAUUGGAAUUCCUGGUGUAGCGGUGGAAUGCGCAGAUAUCAGGAGGAACACCGAUGGCGAAGGCAGAUCUCUGGGCCGUAACUGACGCUGAGGAGCGAAAGCAUGGGGAGCGAACAAGAUUAGAUACCCCCGUAGUCCCUGUCUCUUAUAC
rnacentral:rRNA from 1 species